rnacentral:rRNA from 1 species
AGCGUACACGGUGGAUGCCCUGGCAGUCAGAGGCGAUGAAGGACGUGCUAAUCUGCGAAAAGCGUCGGUAAGGUGAUAUGAACCGUUACAGCCGGCGAUGUCCGAAUGGGGAAACCCAGUGCAAUUCGUUGCACUAUCGUUAACUGAAUACAUAGGUUAACGAGGCGAACCGGGGGAACUGAAACAUCUAAGUACCCCGAGGAAAAGAAAUCAACCGAGAUUCCCCCAGUAGCGGCGAGCGAACGGGGAGCAGCCCAGAGUCUGAAUCAGCUUGUGUGUUAGUGGAACGGUCUGGAAAGUCCGACGGUACAGGGUGAUAGUCCCGUACACCAAAAUGCACAGGUUGUGAACUCGAAGAGUAGGGCGGGACACGUGGUAUCCUGUCUGAAUAUGGGGGGACCAUCCUCCAAGGCUAAAUACUCCUGACUGACCGAUAGUGAACCAGUACCGUGAGGGAAAGGCGAAAAGAACCCCGGCGAGGGGAGUGAAAAAGAACCUGAAACCGUGUACGUACAAGCAGUGGGAGCACCUUCGGGUGUGACUGCGUACCUUUUGUAUAAUGGGUCAGCGACUUAUAUUCUGUAGCAAGGUUAACCGUAUAGGGGAGCCGCAGGGAAACCGAGUCUUAACUGGGCGUUAAGUUGCAGGGUAUAGACCCGAAACCCGGUGAUCUAGCCAUGGGCAGGUUGAAGGUUGGGUAACACUAACUGGAGGACCGAACCGACUAAUGUUGAAAAAUUAGCGGAUGACUUGUGGCUGGGGGUGAAAGGCCAAUCAAACCGGGAGAUAGCUGGUUCUCCCCGAAAGCUAUUUAGGUAGCGCCUCGUGAACUCAUCUUCGGGGGUAGAGCACUGUUUCGGCUAGGGGGUCAUCCCGACUUACCAACCCGAUGCAAACUACGAAUACCGAAGAAUGUUAUCACGGGAGACACACGGCGGGUGCUAACGUCCGUCGUGAAGAGGGAAACAACCCAGACCGCCAGCUAAGGUCCCAAAGUCAUGGUUAAGUGGGAAACGAUGUGGGAAGGCACAGACAGCCAGGAUGUUGGCUUAGAAGCAGCCAUCAUUUAAAGAAAGCGUAAUAGCUCACUGGUCGAGUCGGCCUGCGCGGAAGAUGUAACGGGGCUAAACCAUGCACCGAAGCUGCGGCAGCGACACUAUGUGUUGUUGGGUAGGGGAGCGUUCUGUAAGCCUGCGAAGGUGUGCUGUGAGGCAUGCUGGAGGUAUCAGAAGUGCGAAUGCUGACAUAAGUAACGAUAAAGCGGGUGAAAAGCCCGCUCGCCGGAAGACCAAGGGUUCCUGUCCAACGUUAAUCGGGGCAGGGUGAGUCGACCCCUAAGGCGAGGCCGAAAGGCGUAGUCGAUGGGAAACAGGUUAAUAUUCCUGUACUUGGUGUUACUGCGAAGGGGGGACGGAGAAGGCUAUGUUAGCCGGGCGACGGUUGUCCCGGUUUAAGCAUGUAGGCUGAUUGUCCAGGCAAAUCCGGAUAAUCAAGGCUGAGGUGUGAUGACGAGGCACUACGGUGCUGAAGUAACAAAUGCCCUGCUUCCAGGAAAAGCCUCUAAGCAUCAGGUAACAUUAAAUCGUACCCCAAACCGACACAGGUGGUCAGGUAGAGAAUACCAAGGCGCUUGAGAGAACUCGGGUGAAGGAACUAGGCAAAAUGGUGCCGUAACUUCGGGAGAAGGCACGCUGGUGUGUAGGUGAAGUCCCUGCGGAUGGAGCUGAGACCAGUCGAAGAUACCAGCUGGCUGCAACUGUUUAUUAAAAACACAGCACUGUGCAAACACGAAAGUGGACGUAUACGGUGUGACGCCUGCCCGGUGCCGGAAGGUUAAUUGAUGGGGUUAUCCGUAAGGAGAAGCUCUUGAUCGAAGCCCCGGUAAACGGCGGCCGUAACUAUAACGGUCCUAAGGUAGCGAAAUUCCUUGUCGGGUAAGUUCCGACCUGCACGAAUGGCGUAAUGAUGGCCAGGCUGUCUCCACCCGAGACUCAGUGAAAUUGAACUCGCUGUGAAGAUGCAGUGUACCCGCGGCAAGACGGAAAGACCCCGUGAACCUUUACUAUAGCUUGACACUGAACAUUGAGCCUUGAUGUGUAGGAUAGGUGGGAGGCUUUGAAGCGUGGACGCCAGUCUGCGUGGAGCCAACCUUGAAAUACCACCCUUUAAUGUUUGAUGUUCUAACGUUGGCCCCUGACCGGGGUUGCGGACAGUGUCUGGUGGGUAGUUUGACUGGGGCGGUCUCCUCCCAAAGCGUAACGGAGGAGCACGAAGGUUAGCUAAUCCUGGUCGGACAUCAGGAGGUUAGUGCAAUGGCAUAAGCUAGCUUGACUGCGAGCGUGACGGCGCGAGCAGGUGCGAAAGCAGGUCAUAGUGAUCCGGUGGUUCUGAAUGGAAGGGCCAUCGCUCAACGGAUAAAAGGUACUCCGGGGAUAACAGGCUGAUACCGCCCAAGAGUUCAUAUCGACGGCGGUGUUUGGCACCUCGAUGUCGGCUCAUCACAUCCUGGGGCUGAAGUAGGUCCCAAGGGUAUGGCUGUUCGCCAUUUAAAGUGGUACGCGAGCUGGGUUUAGAACGUCGUGAGACAGUUCGGUCCCUAUCUGCCGUGGGCGCUGGAGAAUUGAGGGGGGCUGCUCCUAGUACGAGAGGACCGGAGUGGACGCAUCACUGGUGUUCGGGUUGUCAUGCCAAUGGCACUGCCCGGUAGCUAAAUGCGGAAGAGAUAAGUGCUGAAAGCAUCUAAGCACGAAACUUGCCCCGAGAUGAGUUCU